CUACGGGAGGCAGCAGUGGGGAAUCUUGGACAAUGGGCGCAAGCCUGAUCCAGCCAUGCCGCGUGGAUGAUGAAGGCCUUCGGGUUGUAAAAUCCUUUCAACGGGGACGAUAAUGACGGUACCCGUAGAAGAAGCCCCGGCUAACUUCGUGCCAGCAGCCGCGGUAAUACGAAGGGGGCUAGCGUUGCUCGGAAUUACUGGGCGUAAAGCGCACGUAGGCGGAUAUUUAAGUCGGAGGUGAAAGCCCAGGGCUCAACCCUGGAACUGCCCUCGAUACUGGGUAUCUGGACCAAAGUAGAGGUUAGUGGAAUUCCGAGUGUAGAGGUGAAAUUCGUAGAUAUUCGGAGGAACACCAGUGGCGAAGGCGACUAACUGGACUUUUGGUGACGCUGAGGUGCGAAAGCGUGGGGAGCAAACAGGAUUAGAUACCCCGGUAGUCCU
rnacentral:rRNA from 1 species